rnacentral:rRNA from 1 species
CAGGCUUAACACAUGCAAGUCGAGGGGCAGCAUGGUCUUAGCUUGCUAAGGCCGAUGGCGACCGGCGCACGGGUGAGUAACACGUAUCCAACCUGCCGUCUACUCUUGGACAGCCUUCUGAAAGGAAGAUUAAUACAAGAUGGCAUCAUGAGUCCGCAUGUUCACAUGAUUAAAGGUAUUCCGGUAGACGAUGGGGAUGCGUUCCAUUAGAUAGUAGGCGGGGUAACGGCCCACCUAGUCUUCGAUGGAUAGGGGUUCUGAGAGGAAGGUCCCCCACAUUGGAACUGAGACACGGUCCAAACUCCUACGGGAGGCAGCAGUGAGGAAUAUUGGUCAGUGGGCGAGAGCCUGAACCAGCCAAGUAGCGUGAAGGAUGACUGCCCUAUGGGUUGUAAACUUCUUUUAUAAAGGAAUAAAGUCGGGUAUGGAUACCCGUUUGCAUGUACUUUAUGAAUAAGGAUCGGCUAACUCCGUGCCAGCAGCCGCGGUAAUACGGAGGAUCCGAGCGUUAUCCGGAUUUAUUGGGUUUAAAGGGAGCGUAGAUGGAUGUUUAAGUCAGUUGUGAAAGUUUGCGGCUCAACCGUAAAAUUGCAGUUGAUACUGGAUAUCUUGAGUGCAGUUGAGGCAGGCGGAAUUCGUGGUGUAGCGGUGAAAUGCUUAGAUAUCACGAAGAACUCCGAUUGCGAAGGCAGCCUGCUAAGCUGCAACUGACAUUGAGGCUCGAAAGUGUGGGUAUCAAACAGGAUUAGAUACCCUGGUAGUCCACACGGUAAACGAUGAAUACUCGCUGUUUGCGAUAUACUGCAAGCGGCCAAGCGAAAGCGUUAAGUAUUCCACCUGGGGAGUACGCCGGCAACGGUGAAACUCAAAGGAAUUGACGGGGGCCCGCACAAGCGGAGGAACAUGUGGUUUAAUUCGAUGAUACGCGAGGAACCUUACCCGGGCUUAAAUUGCAGAUGAAUUACGGUGAAAGCCGUAAGCCGCAAGGCAUCUGUGAAGGUGCUGCAUGGUUGUCGUCAGCUCGUGCCGUGAGGUGUCGGCUUAAGUGCCAUAACGAGCGCAACCCUUGUUGUCAGUUACUAACAGGUUCCGCUGAGGACUCUGACAAGACUGCCAUCGUAAGAUGUGAGGAAGGUGGGGAUGACGUCAAAUCAGCACGGCCCUUACGUCCGGGGCUACACACGUGUUACAAUGGGGGGUACAGAGGGCCGCUACCACGCGAGUGGAUGCCAAUCCCCAAAACCUCUCUCAGUUCGGACUGGGGUCUGCAACCCGACUCCACGAAGCUGGAUUCGCUAGUAAUCGCGCAUCAGCCACGGCGCGGUGAAUACGUUCCCGGGCCUUGUACACACCGCCCGUCAAGCCAUGGGAGCCGGGGGUACCUGAAGUGCGUAACCGCGAGGAGCGCCCUAGGGUAAAACUGGUGACUGGGGCUAAGUCGU